UACGUAGGGAGCAAGCGUUGUCCGGAUUUACUGGGCGUAAAGAGCGCGCAGGCGGUCGUUCAAGUCGCGUGUGAAAGCCCCCGGCUCAACUGGGGAGGGUCACGCGAUACUGAUCGACUGGAAGGCAGGAGAGGGUAGUGGAAUUCCCGGUGUAGUGGUGAAAUGCGUAGAUAUCGGGAGGAACACCAGUGGCGAAGGCGACUACCUGGCCUGUUCUUGACGCUGAGGCGCGAAAGCUAGGGGAGCAAACGGG
rnacentral:rRNA from 1 species